rnacentral:rRNA from 1 species
AUUGAACGCUGGCGGUAUGCUUAACACAUGCAAGUCGAACGAUGAGAAAGAGCUUGCUCUUUCGAUUAGUGGCGGACGGGUGCGUAACGCGUAGGAAUCUACCUAUUAGUGGGGGACAACUUAGGGAAACUUAAGCUAAUACCGCGUACGCCCUACGGGGGAAAGAAGGGGAUCGCAAGACCUUUUGCUAAUGGAUGAGCCUGCGUAGGAUUAGCUAGUUGGUGGGGUAAAAGCUCACCUAGGCGACGAUCCUUAACUGGUUUGAGAGAAUGAUCAGUCACACUGGAACUGAGACACGGUCCAGACUCCUACGGGAGGCAGCAGUGGGGAAUAUUGGACAAUGGGCGAAAGCCUGAUCCAGCAAUACCGCGUGUGUGAAGAAGGCCUUAGGGUUGUAAAGCACUUUCAAUUGGAAGGAAAACCUCGAAGCUAAUACCUUCGAGUUUGACAUUACCUUUAGAAGAAGCACCGGCUAACUCCGUGCCAGCAGCCGCCGUAA